rnacentral:lncRNA from 1 species
UCGGUUCCACUCGAGCUCCCAGAAUCAUCAUCAUUAGAAGAUAGCAACACUUUGGCUUUGACCUCGAGUACUUUCACAUUCUCGAUCAACGACUGGAUCAAAGCCAUGAGCAUGAAUAUCCUCGAGAAUAUCUCUUCGAGACUGAUACAUGGCAUGCUCAACUCCCCAAUAUGAUUGAGUCUAGGCGGCGUCAGCCACUUCUUUUGCUCGAACUUGAGCAACUUCAGCAUCAGCCCGAUAGACAACCACUAUUGCCUUCGCUUGAGCCUUUACCUUUUCUACUUCAGACGUGGCCUUUGGAUGUUCGGCAGCCAAUCGAUCCUCAAGCUCUUCAAUUUUCUUGGCUCGGGCCUAGCUUUUUUCCUUCAUGCUUUGGAUUUGGCGUUCGGCCUAUGACAGUUGGGCUUGGGCAGUAUCUUUCUCCGAGGCAAGGUG